UGUAAUGUGUAUUUCAGAAACCUAGUGUGUGCUAUUCCUGUACAGAACCCCAUAUUGUGUUCAGCUACAUCUGCUGAGUACAACGAUACCCCCAUUGUAUGUCUUUGCCCCUAUUCUAUGAAGCCACAAUGCCAUAUUUCAGUUUCUAUAGUUGGAAUUUUCAUAGAUGGUCAUAUGUCUGAUUUUGUGGCAUUAUAGUGCUAUGGAUAGAAAUUAUUGUUAGUAAAAUGUCUAUUUACUGUAUAUGCCUGUAAUCAGUAGUUGCUCAAAAUGGCCGCUGAGAACCCCCUCCCAUCGAGCAAAGAAUGUAAAGAAUGUCAUGUACUAAGAUGGCGUCUCCCAGUGACAGCUGCACCCAGAAUGAUGGUGACAUAACACUUUGGAGGACGUGCAUUAGAUAAGACACUUAACACAUGACCAAUUAAAGAUGUAUUCUGUCUGUUAUCUCAUGUUUUGCAUAUGAUGUAUUUCUGCCUUUAUAAGGGGCUCCCCGCCCCCCUUAUUAAACAUUCCGAAG